GACGAACGCUGGCGGCGUGCUUAACACAUGCAAGUCGAACGGAAAGGCCCUGCUUUUGUGGGGUGCUCGAGUGGCGAACGGGUGAGUAACACGGGAGUAACCUGCCCUUGACUUUGGGAUAACUUGAGGAAACUGGGGCUAAUACCGGAUAGGAGCUCCUGCUGCAUGGUGGGGGUUGGAAAGUUUCGGCGGUUGGGGAUGGACUCGCGGCUUAUCAGCUUGUUGGUGGGGUAGUGGCUUACCAAGGCUUUGACGGGUAGCCGGCCUGAGAGGGUGACCGGCCACAUUGGGACUGAGAUACGGCCCAGACUCCUACGGGAGGCAGCAGUGAGGGAUAUUGCACGAUGGGCGGAAGCCUGAUGCAGCAACGCCGCGUGCGGGAUGACGGCCUUCGGGUUGUAACCCGCUUUCGCCUGUGACGAAGCGUGAGUGACGGUAAUGGGUAAAGAAGCACCGGCUAACUACGUG
rnacentral:rRNA from 1 species